rnacentral:rRNA from 1 species
CGCGUAGGCGGGUGAUCAAGUCAGGGGUGAAAUCUCUCGGCUCAACCGGAAAGUGCCUUUGAUACUGGUCAUCUCGAGGGAGGUAGGGGCAUGUGGAACUUCCGGUGGAGCGGUGAAAUGCGUAGAUAUCGGAAGGAACGCCGGUGGCGAAAGCGACGUGCUGGACCUUUUCUGACGCUGAGGCGCGAAAGCCAGGGGAGCAAACG